UGGAUUUCAAACUGCACUGGCUUCUCAGAGAUUCUUCUUCUCUGAUAGGUUUCCCCCCAGGGUCAAGGUGUGUUGAGUCCCUGUAGCAAUGCUGCAUUUCUUUUUGUUUUUGAUGUUAUCUUGACGAUGGAAUCCUUCUUUGAGACAAAUGGUGCCAAUGCUGGAGAGUAGGCGUUCACGAAGUUGGCACCCUGACAAACUGCUAUUCUGAGCUUCUGACCGGUCUAUCUAAUUGAACACUGGAGGUGAAUGCCACAGCUUUCAAAGAUUUUAGCAGUACGUCCAAUCGGCCUCACAACCGCAGACCACGUGUAACCACGCCAGCCCAGGACCUCCACAUCCAGCUUCUUCACCUGCGGGAU